rnacentral:rRNA from 1 species
UUCCGGUUGAUCCCGCCGGAGGCCACUGCUAUGGGGGUCCGACUAAGCCAUGCGAGUCAUGGGGCGCCUUGCGCGCACCGGCGGACGGCUCAGUAACACGUCGGUAACCUACCCUCGGGAGGGGGAUAACCCCGGGAAACUGGGGCUAAUCCCCCAUAGGCCUGAGGUACUGGAAGGUCCUCAGGCCGAAAGGGGCUCUGCCCGCCCGAGGAUGGGCCGGCGGCCGAUUAGGUAGUUGGUGGGGUAACGGCCCACCAAGCCGAAGAUCGGUACGGGCCAUGAGAGUGGGAGCCCGGAGAUGGACACUGAGACACGGGUCCAGGCCCUACGGGGCGCAGCAGGCGCGAAACCUCCGCAAUGCGGGCAACCGCGACGGGGGGACCCCCAGUGCCGUGGCAUCGCCACGGCUUUUCCGGAGUGUAAAGAGCUCCGGGAAUAAGGGCUGGGCAAGGCCGGUGGCAGCCGCCGCGGUAAUACCGGCGGCCCGAGUGGUGGCCGCUAUUAUUGGGCCUAAAGCGUCCGUAGCCGGGCCCGUAAGUCCCUGGCGAAAUCCCACGGCUCAACCGUGGGGCUUGCUGGGGAUACUGCGGGCCUUGGGACCGGGAGAGGCGGAGGGUACUCCUGGGGUAGGGGUGAAAUCCUAUAAUCCCAGGAGGACCGCCAGUGGCGAAGGCGCUCCGCUGGAACGGGUCCGACGGUGAGGGACGAAGGCCAGGGGAGCGAACCGGAUUAGAUACCCGGGUAGUCCUGGCUGUAAAGGAUGCGGGCUAGGUGUCGGGCGAGCUUCGUGCUCGCCCGGUGCCGAAGGGAAGCCGUUAAGCCCGCCGCCUGGGGAGUACGGCCGCAAGGCUGAAACUUAAAGGAAUUGGCGGGGGAGCACUACAAGGGGUGGAGCGUGCGGUUUAAUUGGACUCAACGCCGGA